GCGGCGGACGGGUGAGUAACGCGUGGGUAAUCUACCUCGUAGUUCGGGAUAACAGGCCGAAAGGCUUGCUAAUACCGGAUGAGUUCAUGCUUAUGCAUAUAGACAUGAAGAAAGGGCUAGCCCGCUAUGAGAUGAGCCCGCGUCCCAUUAGCUUGUUGGUGGGGUAACGGCCUACCAAGGCAACGAUGGGUAGCCGGCCUGAGAGGGUGUACGGCCACACUGGGACUGAGACACGGCCCAGACUCCUACGGGGGGCAGCAGUAGGGAAUUUUCGGCAAUGGGCGAAAGCCUGACCGAGCGACGCCGCGUGAGGGACGAAGGCCUUCGGGUUGUAAACCUCUGUCUGGGGGGAUGAGAACGGACGGUACCCCCGGAGGAAGCCCCGGCUAACUACGUGCCAGCAGCCGCGGUAAUACGUAGGGGGCUAGCGUUGUCCGGAAUUACUGGGCGUAAAGGGCGUGUAGGCGGUCGUGCAAGUCGGUUGUGAAAGUCUAGG
rnacentral:rRNA from 1 species